CAAAGAUUAAGCCAUGCAUGUCUCAGUACAAGCUAAAUUAAAGUGAAACCGCGAAUGGCUCAUUACAACAGCCGUUGUUCCCUUGAGACUAUCAAUACUUGGAUAACUGUGGCAAUUCUAGAGCUAAUACACGCAUUGAAACCCCGACUUUACGGAGGGGUGCAUUUAUUAGAACAAAACCAAUCGGGGCAACCCGUCAUUUGGUGAAUCUGAAUAACCCAGCUGAUCGCACGGUCUUUGCACCGGCGACGCAUCUUUCAAGUGUCUGCCUUAUCAACUUUCGAUGGUAGUUUAUGUGACUACCAUGGUUAUAACGGGUAACGGAGAAUCAGGGUUCGACUCCGGAGAGGGAGCCUGAGAAACGGCUACCACAUCCAAGGAAGGCAGCAGGCGCGCAAAUUACCCACUCUCAGUACGAGGAGGUAGUGACGAAAAAUAACGAGGCGGUUCUCUUAGAGGCCCGCUAUCGGAAUGAGAACAAUUUAAAUCCU
rnacentral:rRNA from 1 species